rnacentral:rRNA from 1 species
CAAUAGCGUAUAUUAAAGUUGUUGCAGUUAAAAAGCUCGUAGUUGGAUUUCUGGUCGGAAGCUCCUGUCCUCUGAUGAGCGUACAAGUGCGUCCUACCAUCCUUCUGUUAACCUUUAAGGCUUUCGCGGCUUUCUAGGGGCUCAGAUAUUUUACCUUGAGAAAAUUAGAGUGUCUCAGGCAGGCUAGCGCCGGAAUACAUUAGCAUGGAAUAAUGGAAUAGGACUUUUGCCUCUUCUGUUGGUCAUGAGGCUCGAGUAAUGAUUAAUAGGGAUAGUUGGGGGCAUUAGUACUUAACUGUCAGAGGUGAAAUUCUCGGAUUUGUUAAAGACUAACUUAUGCGAAAGCAUUUGCCAAGGAUGUUUNCAUUAA